rnacentral:tRNA from 1 species
GAGGAUUUAGCUCAGUGGUAGAGCGCUUGCCUAGCAAGCGCAAGGCCCUGGGUUCAGUUCCCAGCUCC